rnacentral:rRNA from 1 species
GACAGAGGGUGCAAACGUUGUUCGGAAUUACUGGGCGUAAAGCGUGUGUAGGCGGCCUUGCAAGUCGGAUGUGAAAGCCCCGGGCUCAACCCGGGAAGUGCACUCGAUACUGCAGGGCUUGAGUAUCGGAGAGGUUGGUGGAAUUCUCGGUGUAGAGGUGAAAUUCGUAGAUAUCGAGAGGAACACCGGCGGCGAAGGCGGCCAACUGGACGAUUACUGACGCUGAGACACGAAAGCGUGGGGAGCAAACGGG